CUUACACAUGCAAGUCGAACGGUAACAGGAAGCAGCUUGCUGCUUCGCUGACGAGUGGCGGACGGGUGAGUAAUGUCUGGGAAACUGCCUGAUGGAGGGGGAUAACUACUGGAAACGGUAGCUAAUACCGCAUAACGUCGCAAGACCAAAGAGGGGGACCUUCGGGCCUCUUGCCAUCGGAUGUGCCCAGAUGGGAUUAGCUAGUAGGUGGGGUAACGGCUCACCUAGGCGACGAUCCCUAGCUGGUCUGAGAGGAUGACCAGCCACACUGGAACUGAGACACGGUCCAGACUCCUACGGGAGGCAGCAGUGGGGAAUAUUGCACAAUGGGCGCAAGCCUGAUGCAGCCAUGCCGCGUGUAUGAAGAAGGCCUUCGGGUUGUAAAGUACUUUCAGCGGGGAGGAAGGCGAUAAGGUUAAUAACCUUGUCGAUUGACGUUACCCGCAGAAGAAGCACCGGCUAACUCCGUGCCAGCAGCCGCGGUAAUACGGAGGGUGCAAGCGUUAAUCGGAAUUACUGGGCGUAAAGCGCACGCAGGCGGUCUGUCAAGUCGGAUGUGAAAUCCCCGGGCUCAACCUGGGAACUGCAUUCGAAACUGGCAGGCUAGAGUCUUGUAGAGGGGGGUAGAAUUCCAGGUGUAGCGGUGAAAUGCGUAGAGAUCUGGAGGAAUACCGGUGGCGAAGGCGGCCCCCUGGACAAAGACUGACGCUCAGGUGCGAAAG
rnacentral:rRNA from 1 species